UACGGAGGGGGCUAGCGUUGUUCGGAAUUACUGGGCGUAAAGGGCGCGCAGGCGGCUGCUCAAGUCAGGCGUGAAAGGCCUGGGCUCAACCCGGGAAUUGCGCUUGAGACUGGGCUGGCUUGAGUGCGGGAGAGGGAUGCGGAAUUCCAGGUGUAGCGGUGAAAUGCGUUAGAUAUCUGGAGGAACACCGGUGGCGAAGGCGGGUCUCUGGGCGAAUAACUGACGCUGAGGAGCGAAAGCGUGGGGAGCGAACAGG
rnacentral:rRNA from 1 species